AUUGAACGCUGGCGGCAGGCUUAACACAUGCAAGUCGAGCGGGGUGAUGGUGCUUGCACUAUCACUUAGCGGCGGACGGGUGAGUAAUGCUUAGGAAUCUGCCUAUUAGUGGGGGACAACAUCUCGAAAGGGAUGCUAAUACCGCAUACGUCCUACGGGAGAAAGCAGGGGAUCACUUGUGACCUUGCGCUAAUAUAUGAGCCUAAGUCGGAUUAGCUAGUUGGUGGGGUAAAGGCCUACCAAGGCGACGAUCUGUAGCGGGUCUGAAAGGAUGAUCCGCCACACUGGGACUGAGACACGGCCCAGACUCCUACGGGAGGCAGCAGUGGGGAAUAUUGGACAAUGGGGGGAACCCUGAUCCAGCCAUGCCGCGUGUGUGAAGAAGGCCUUAUGGUUGUAAAGCACUUUAAGCGUGGAGGAGGCUCUUUUGGUUAAUACCCAAGAUGAGUGGACGUUACUCGCAGAAUAAGCACCGGCUAACUCUGUGCCAGCAGCCGCCGUAA
rnacentral:rRNA from 1 species